CAAGUCGAACGAGGCGGAAGGGGGCAACUCCUUCCAGUCGAGUGGCGGACGGGUGAGUAACACGUGGGUAACCUGCCCGGAAGUGGGGAAUACCUCGGGGAAACUCGAGCUAAUACCGCAUGACAUCUUCGGGACGAAAGUCCUGGCGAUCAAAGCGGGGUCGCAAGAUCUCGCGCUACCGGAUGGGCCCGCGCCCGAUUAGCUAGUUGGCGAGGUAACGGCUCACCAAGGCUUCGAUCGGUAACCGGCCUGAGAGGGCGAUCGGUCACACCGGAACUGAGACACGGUCCGGACUCCUACGGGAGGCAGCAGUGGGGAAUCUUGCGCAAUGGGCGAAAGCCUGACGCAGCAACGCCGCGUGGAGGAUGAAGGCCCUUGGGUUGUAAACUCCUGUCGGCUGGGAAGAAAUCAUACGGUGCUCAUACCACCGUGUGUUGACUGUACCAGCAAAGGAAGCCCCGGCUAACUCUGUGCCAGCAGCCGCGGUAAUACAGAGGGGGCCAGCGUUAUUCGGAAUUAUUGGGCGUAAAGGGCGCGUAGGCGGCCAUGCGUGUCUUCCGUGAAAUCCCUCGGCUUAACUGAGGACGUGCGGAAGAAACUGCAAGGCUUGAGUCCGGGAGAGGGGGGUGGAAUUCCCAGUGUAGCGGUGAAAUGCGUAGAUAUUGGGAGGAACACCGGUGGCGAAGGCGGCCCCCUGGACCGGUACUGACGCUGAGGCGCGAAAGCGUGGGUAGCAAACGGGAUUAGAUACCCCGGUAGUCCACGCCGUAAACGAUGGGCACUUGGUGUCGCGGGUAUCGACCCCUGCGGUGCCGAAGCUAACGCAUUAAGUGCCCCGCCUGGGGAGUACGGUGCAAGGCUGAAACUCAAAGGAAUUGACGGGGGCC
rnacentral:rRNA from 1 species